rnacentral:rRNA from 1 species
GCCAGACUCCUACGGGAGGCAGCAGUGGGGGAUAUUGCACAAUGGGGGAAACCCUGAUGCAGCGACGCCGCGUGGGUGAAGAAGCGCCUCGGCGCGUAAAGCCCUGUCAGCAGGGAAGAAAGAAAUGACGGUACCUGACUAAGAAGCCCCGGCUAACUACGUGCCAGCAGCCGCGGUAAUACGUAGGGGGCAAGCGUUAUCCGGAUUUACUGGGUGUAAAGGGAGCGUAGACGGCGAUGCAAGUCUGAAGUGAAAGGCGGGGGCCCAACCCCCGGACUGCUUUGGAAACUGUAUGGCUGGAGUGCAGGAGAGGUAAGUGGAAUUCCUAGUGUAGCGGUGAAAUGCGUAGAUAUCAGGAGGAACACCGGCGGCGAAGGCGGCCUGCUGGACCGUGACUGACGUUGAGGCUCGAGAGCGUGGGGAGCAAACAGGAUUAGAUACCCCAGUAU